rnacentral:rRNA from 1 species
GUCAGCCGAAGUCCGCUGGAAAGCGGCACCGCAGCGGGUGACAGUCCCGUAGGCGACGAUGCGACUCCCCCUAUCCGGUACCCGAGUAGGGUCGGGCACGUGAAACCCGGCCUGAAUCGGCGGGGACCAUCCCGCAAGGCUAAGUACUCGAUGACGACCGAUAGCGAACCCAGUAGGGCGACCGAACGGUGGGAAGAACCCCGAUGAGGGGAGGAGACUGAACCUGAAACCCCGUGCCUACGAGCGGUGGGAGGGCGUCUGGCCUCGGCCGGCCUGACCGCGUGCCUUUUGCAUAAUGAUCCGGCGAGUUACUGUAUCCGGCUUAGGUUAAUCCCUUCAGGGGAGGAGCCGCAGCGAAAGCGAGUCCUAACCGGCGACGAUGUCGGAUGCAGUAGACGCGAAACCAGGUGAACUACCCAUGGGCAGGUUGAAGCGGGGGUAAGACCCCGUGGAGGACCGAACCGACCUAGGUUGAAAACUGGGCGGAUGACCUGUGGGUCGGAGUGAAAGGCUAAUCAAGCUCAGAGAUAUCU